rnacentral:lncRNA from 1 species
CUUGAGGCCCUAACUCCUAAUGUGAUGAUGUUUGUGGGUGGGGCCCUCAUGGAUGGUGUUAGUGCCCUAUGAGAUUGGCCCCAGAGACCUGCCUUGUCCUUUCCACAUUAGGGACUCAGGGAGAAUGUAGCUGUCUGCAAACCAGGAAGAGAGUCCCCACCAGACCCUGAACCUGCAGGCGCUUGGUCUUGGAUUUCCAGCUUCCAACCUGUGAGAAAUGCAUUUCUGUUGUUUAUAAGUCCUUGUUUCAGGGUAUUUUGUUUAGCAGCCUGAACUGAAGUGGACAGACAUCCCAACUUAGCAUGUGCUGCAGGCUGAGUCCUCCUGCCUAACCUCCCUGGCUUCCCUCUCUCCCUUGCUACCUGCACCUCGGGCUGCAGCCUGCGCCUCUUCCCUCACGGCCAUCACUCUCAACAAAUCUCGCACAUGUGACCCUGCCUUGACUCAUGACUCUCAGAGAACCAGAAUGGCCAUGAUGACACCCAAGUAACAGGAGGAGGAAGGGGAAAAAAGGGGUGCUGUCAACUUUGCUGUAGACAUUUUGGGGGUCUGCCCUCCCCAAGUCCACUCCUUUUUCCUUCGAUAACAUCAUAGGCUGUAUCUCUAGCACAUGGCUAGAAUUUUCUGGCCAAAUAUCUUUGGAAUACUAAUGAAUAUCUGUCCUAAGUUGGACCCAAAUUUUCUCCCAGGAUCUUGAGUGUGGGGAAACCUAGAGGUAGUGGACCCCUCCUGUAGGCCCCCCACAUGCCCAGUGGACUGGCUAGAGGCCUUUUAUACUGUAUGCUCCUAUUGGCUCUUGAACCUCCUCCCUUUUCUGAGUUUUAUGAAGUGCCUGUUACAUGUCAGGUACUAGUCUAUGUGUUAGGACUACAUCAGUAUUUCUGUCCUUAAAGAGCUUCCCUUCCAGUGACUGAGAAAGAUGGUACAAAAGACAUAUCAAUCCAGCGGCUCAGGAGGAAGUAGGAGAAUCCCAAGUUCAAGGCCAGCCCUGGCAACUUAGAGAGACCAUGUCUCAAAAUAAAAAAAAAUAAAGAGCUGGGGAUGUAGCUCAGAGUAAAGUGCCCCUGAUUUCAAUCCCCAGUACUGUUAAAUAAGUAAAUAAAUAAAAAUGAGUAAAUUAGCCAGGUGCGGUGGUAUAUACUUGUAAUACCGGUGGCUCAGGAGGAUGAGGUAGAGCCUGUGAGUUCAAAGUCAGCCUCAGCAACAUGGUGAGACCCUCUCUCAAAAUAAAAAAAUAUAAAAAGGACUGGGGAUGUGGCCCAGUGGUUUAGAUCCCUGGGUUUAAUCUUUGGGAUACAUACAUAGAGAGAGACACACACACGUAUGAGGAGUGCUAUGGAAAAGCCAAAGUGGAGCAGGGCGAGAGGUGGGCAGUGGCAGGGUGCCAUCUGCACAGUAACAGGGUGUCCUGGUGGAGCCUCACUAAGAAAUGAGAUUUUGGCCAAGGUUGGAAGAAGGUGAGGGAAUUGGUAGCGAGAUGAUGUGAG